CAUCUUUAGUUGCCAGCAGGUUAAGCUGGGCACUCUAGAGAAACUGCCCGUGAUAAGCGGGAGGAAGGUGUGGAUGACGUCAAGUCCUCAUGGCCCUUACGGGUUGGGCUACACACGUGCUACAAUGGCAGUGACAAUGGGUUAAUCCCAAAAAGCUGUCUCAGUUCGGAUUGGGGUCUGCAACUCGACCCCAUGAAGUCGGAAUCGCUAGUAAUCGCGUAACAGCAUGACGCGGUGAAUACGUUC
rnacentral:rRNA from 1 species